CAGUCUCAUAAUCUGAAGGUCGUGAGU
rnacentral:piRNA from 7 species